rnacentral:rRNA from 1 species
GUGCCAGCAUCCUCGGUAAUACGUAGGGGUCAAGCGUUGUCCGGAUUUAUUGGGCGUAAAGAGCUCGUAGGCGGUUCAACAAGUCGGUCGUGAAAGUUCAGGGCUCAACCCUGAAAUGUCGAUCGAUACUGUUGUGACUAGGAUACGGUAGAGGUGAGUGGAAUUCCGAGUGUAGCGGUGAAAUGCGUAGAUAUUCGGAGGAACACCAAUUGCGAAGGCAGCUCACUGGGCCGCUAUCGACGUUGAGGGACGAAAGUGUAGGGAGCAAACAGGAUUAGAUA